rnacentral:rRNA from 1 species
UACAGAGGGGGCAAGCGUUAUUCGGAAUUAUUGGGCGUAAAGGGCGCGUAGGCGGUUUUUUAAGUCGGAUGUGCAAUCCCCGAGCUCAACUUGGGAACUGCAUCCGAGACUGGAGAGCUAGAGUGCUGGAGAGGGUGGUGGAAUUCCACGUGUAGCGGUGAAAUGCGUAGAGAUGUGGAGGAACACCAGUGGCGAAGGCGGCCACCUGGACAGUAACUGACGCUGAGGCGCGAAAGUGUGGGGAGCAAACAGGAUUAGAUACCCUGGUAGUCCACGCUGUAAACGAUGAACACUUGGUGUGGCGGGAGUUGACCCCCGCCGUGCCGGAGCUAACGCGUUAAGUGUUCCGCCUGGGGAGUACGGUCGCAAGGCUGAA